rnacentral:snRNA from 1 species
GCCGGUUGUGGUGGCGCACGCCGGUAGGAUUUGGUGAAGGAGGCAGAGGCAGGAGGAUCACGAGUUCGAGGCCAGCCUGGGCUACACAUUUU